GCUCAGCGUCUAGUCUGGCUGCAGACCACACACAGGAGGGUCUAGAGAGGGGGAGGGGAGACAGGAAAGUGAGCGAGCCAGGCAGCACUGGCCCAGCCAGGGACUCUGAACAGCACUGAGAGACAGGUGCUGCGCUCAGCUUCCGGCUGCCGGUGGGGAAGCCACCAAAGUGCUCAGAGCUCAGCCUGUCAGAGCACCAGCUUGCACUGCUGAGGCCCUGGGAGGCUGCAGGUUCUGUCUCCGGCAGCACCUUACACCGGAGCUCACAGGGAGGAAGCAUGUCCCUUUUAGAGUGAGAACCCCGUGAAGGAAAGUGGAGACUCCUUGCCUUCAGGCCAGGUGGGCAAGUCCCACCCCCAUACAUGCGGGGCAGUAAACAAUAAGUCUUUAAAAAUAUCAAGUCCAGGGGCUGGGUGGUGGCACACCUGGCUGACUGCACACAAGACUCUGGCAAAAGACCAGGUUCAGGUGCAAAGACCCCGAUUCAGGCCGCCCGUCCUUUCCUGCAGGUGAGGAAGCUUCAUGAGCAGUGCAGCAGGACAUCAGAUCCCAAACUUCUAGACCCUCAAGUCAAGCUGCGUUUCAGGUCACUGCCCUCUGAUGUCUCAGAAGACCCCCUCCCUCAAGUGUCUGGCUCCAUGGAAGUUCCAGAAGGUUCUCUGGCUAGACAGCUCUGCUUUCCCACCAGGCCGGCAUGGAAGGGACUCCAGUGGCCUCACGACAUGUGUGUGGGCUGCCAAGUGCCGACUGACAUCCCCUGGAAGGCUGGGGCCCCUUGACACACACAAGCUGCCACCACGCACAGCUCCUGAUUCACUGAGGGGCCUGCCCACACCCUCUUGGGCUCAGAUGCCCCCACUCCAGGUCUCUCCCUCCCCAACCCCACAAGUCCAGUAGGACUCUUCAUGGUGAAUUCUGGGCCUGUUUUAGAACCAGAGCAGACUUCCUGCUUGAAAAAUGCUACUCAUGGCUGGGCAGCACCUUUCGGUGCCCAGAAUGUUCUUGCUUCCAGGUGCCCUGAAGGCCUGGCAGGUGAGCCAGGAGUGGAAGGCAAUAGACUGGAGUUUCCGGCCUGGCUUUGAACUUCUUAGGCGACUGACUCCAAGCACCUGGAGGCCCAGCCUGAAGCCUCUGUUUCCUGGAAUGUUGCCAGGCUAGCAUGGGGGUGCCUCUUCCCGGAUGCGUACUCUCUGGGUUGGAGAGAACUCGGCCAGAGCCAGCCUGGGCUGCUACUCACUCAGCCACGUGAGGGAGAUGAUUCAGGAACCAAACAGGUGGUGCGAGGCAGCCCUGGUUCACUUCCACCAGACGCCAGCAGCCAGGGAAGGAGGAGCAGGUGAAAGUCAUUGUCACCGGUGACACUACAGAACUGAAACCAGCAGUCGUCAGCGACCAGCAGAUUACGGCGUCAUCACGUCAGCAAAGCCAUGGCAUCCCUCAAGCCCCACAGGACACCUCGGUUUGGAGGAGCACAAGCCAGGCACCAGAGGUCACACAUGGAUCUCAGACUGGACACUGCGGCCGCGUGAGGGCCCAGGGAUGCUUCCCAAAGGCCUUCCCCUGGCCUGCCCACCUCACCUCCUCCCCAAGGCCCAGGCCACGUGACACGUGUCAGGCCCCCCAGCUGUCUCCUGCACAGUCAGUUUUGCUCUCCUCCAAGAGCACACACUUGCUCAAGCCCACCUGUGGCCUGCAGCUCCCUUCCCAACUCCCACAGCACCCAGGAAAGCUCGUCUUUGUCACCUCAUCCAUCUUCCCGGACUUGGCAAGAAAAGGGACUGACUCAUUUGUAGGCAGGCAGGCAGGCACCAGAUCAUGCAUGCCGGGUUCAGAGCUGGGCUGUUGGUUCCAGAACCUGGGCACCACAAGCAAGUGCCAGUUCACAGCCUUUGUCAUCUGGACACUGUUUCAUUCUACAAAAUGAAAGCAAA